rnacentral:lncRNA from 1 species
CAAAGCAAUAAAUAUUUAUUGGCAGAACUGUUAACAACUACGCUGGUAACUAUAUUUACAUAAUACAGUGUAAUUAUAUUUACGCAAACAUGACCUGGUGCAUGGGAAGUUCUUCCAGCCUCUGAGCAAGAAGAGGGAACAGGGCCAGCUGAUGAAUGCAUAUUGAAUGUCUGUGUGAACUAGCUGAAAAAAAUUAGGCAAGUU